rnacentral:tRNA from 1 species
CGGGGUGUGGCACAGCUUGGUAGUGCGCACCGUUCGGGACGGUGAGGUCGCUGGUUCAAAUCCAGUCACCCCGACCA